rnacentral:rRNA from 1 species
AUUGAACGCUGGCGGCAUGCCUUACACAUGCAAGUCGAACGGCAGCACGAGAGCAAUCCUGGUGGCGAGUGGCGAACGGGUGAGUAAUAUAUCGGAACGUGCCCAGUCGUGGGGGAUAACGUAGCGAAAGCUACGCUAAUACCGCAUACGAUCUAUGGAUGAAAGCGGGGGAUCGCAAGACCUCGCGCGAUUGGAGCGGCCGAUAUCAGAUUAGGUAGUUGGUGAGGUAAAGGCUCACCAANCCGACGAUCUGUAGCUGGUCUGAGAGGACGACCAGCCACACUGGGACUGGAGACACGGCCCAGACUCCUACGGGAGCAGCAGUGGGGAAUUUUGGGACAAUGGCGCAAGCCUGAUCCAGCAAU